CCUACGGGAGGCUGCAGUGGGGAAUAUUGGACAAUGGGCGCAAGCCUGACCCAGCAACGCCGCGUGAAGGAAGAAGGCUUUCGGGUUGUAAACUUCUUUUCUCAGGGACGAAUCAAGUGACUGUACCUGAGGAAUGCGCCACGGCUAACUACGUGACAGCAGCCGCGGUAAUACGUAGGUGGCAAGCGUUAUGCGGUUUUACUGGGUGUAAAGGGCGUGUAGGCGGGAAAGCAAGUCAGAUGUGAAAACCAUGGGCUUAACCUGUGGACUGCAUUUGAAAGUGUUUUUCUUGAGUAAAGGAGAGGCAGGCGGAAGUCCGAGUGUAGCGGUGAAAUGCGUAGAUAUUCGGAGGAACACCGGUGGCGAAGGCGGUCUGCUGGGCAGCAACUGACGCUGAGGCGCGAAAGCGUGGGGAGCAAACAGGAUUAGAUACCCUGGUAGUC
rnacentral:rRNA from 1 species